rnacentral:rRNA from 1 species
GGGUGUAGCAAUACACCAGUGGCGAACGGGUGAGUAAUGUAUCGCUAACGUGCCCCUAUGUCCGGGAUAGCCGUCCGAAAGGACGGGUAAUACCGGGUAAGACCACAAUCCCGCAUGGGAUGGUGCUCAAAGGGAAACCGCAAAGGGAGCGGGCGAUAUCGUAUCAGCUAGUUGGUGAGGUAACGGCUCACCAAGGCGACGACGCGUAGCCGGGCUGAGAGGUCGGCCGGCCACAUUGGGACUGAGACACUGCCCAGACUCCUACGGGGGGCUGCAGUAACGAAUCUUCCGCAAUGCACGCAAGUGUGACGGAGCGACGCCGCGUGGAGGACGAAGUUCUUCGGAAUGUAAACUCCUGUCAGGGGCAGCCAAGUUCUGAGGCGCCCCAGAGGAAGGCACGGCUAACUCUGUGCCAGCAGCCGCGGUAAGACAGAGGUGCCAAGCGUUAGGCGGAAUCACUGGGCUUAAAGCGUGUGUAGGCGGGCGGGCAAGUACCUUGUGAAAUCCCACGGCUCAACCGUGGAACGGCUGGGUAUACUGCCUGUCUUGAGCCAGCUAGGGGCGACCGGAACAGACGGUGGAGCGGUGAAAUGCGUAGAUAUCGUCUGGAACGCCAAAGGUGAAAACAGGUCGCUGGGGCUGAGCUGACGCUGAGACACGAAAGCCAGGGGAGCGAACGGGAUUAGAUACCCCGGUAGUCCUGGCCCUAAACGAUGUCGACUAGAUCGCAGGACCUCUGACGGUUUUGCGGUCGCAGCAAAAGUGCUAAGUCGACCGCCUGGGAAGUACGGUCGCAAGGCUAAAACUC